CUCUCACUGGAUAAAGAAUUGUAUCAAAGUUUGACCUUAAGCAAUUAUAGGGAAACGUGGCAGAUUUGAAUUUGAUGUUCAGCGUUGAGGAGGAUAUGAUGGGAAAGGUUGUGACGCACGAGCUGUAUCCGAGAGGCGUCAACAAUGACAAUAAAAUAAACUAUAUCCACUGCAUUGUACAUUCGUGUGCAUAUUCAGAUACGUUACCAGACAGCUGCUUUCAUAUGCGGUUCUAGAAUCGUAUUAAACCCAGACCGACCAGCAUGGUUUUCAACGCCGGAACUACAACGACUGAUAUCUGGUGACACAGCGCCACUCGAUGUGAACGAUCUGCGAAAACAUACACAGUACUACGGAGGAUUGCAUGACGGCC